CCUCUCUCUGUCACUAGUCACACCCUCCCUCUCUCUGUCACUAGAGUGAGGGGGGUGACUAGUGACAGAGUGAGGGA